rnacentral:piRNA from 1 species
CCCACCUUCAGCUGGGAGGAGAUUCAGA